ACUCAAAGGAAUUGACGGGGGAGCACCACAACAGGUGGAGCCUGCGGUUUAAUCGGACUCAACGCCGGAAAUCUCACCGGAUAAGACAGCUGAAUGAUAGCCGGGCUGAAGACUCUGCUUGACUAGCUGAGAGGAGGUGCAUGGCCGUCGUCAGUUCGUACUGUGAAGCAUCCUGUUAAGUCAGGCAACGAGCGAGACCCACGCCAACAGUUGCCAGCAUGUCCUCUGGGAUGAUGGGGACACUGUUGGGACCGCCUCUGUUAAAGAGGAGGAAGGAAUGGGCAACGGUAGGUCAGCAUGCCCCGAAUUAUCCGGGCUACACGCGGGCUACAAUGGGCAGGACAAUGGGUUUCGACACCGAAAGGUGAAGGCAAUCUCUUAAACCUGCUCGUAGUUCGGAUUGCGGGUUGCAACUCGCCCGCAUGAAGCUGGAAUCUGUAGUAAUCGCGUCUCAAAAUGGCGCGGUGAAUAUGUCCCUGCUCCUUGCACACACCGCCCGU
rnacentral:rRNA from 1 species